UGUCUUAGUAACGGCGAGUGAAGCGACAAAAGCUCAAAUUUGAAAUCUGGCACCUUCGGUGUCCGAGUUGUAAUUUGAAGAAGGUAACUUUGGAGUUGGCUCUUGUCUAUGUUCCUUGGAACAGGACGUCACAGAGGGUGAGAAUCCCGUGCGAUGAGAUGUCCAACUCUAUGUAAAGUGCUUUCGAAGAGUCGAGUUGUUUGGGAAUGCAGCUCUAAGUGGGUGGUAAAUUCCAUCUAAAGCUAAAUAUUGGCGAGAGACCGAUAGCGAACAAGUACAGUGAUGGAAAGAUGAAAAGAACUUUGAAAAGAGAGUGAAAAAGUACGUGAAAUUGUUGAAAGGGAAGGGUUUGAGAUCAGACUUGGUAUUUUGUAUGUCUUGCUUUCGGGUGGGGCCUCUGCAGUUUACUGGGCCAGCAUCGGUUUGGACGGUAGGAUAAUGACAUUGGAAUGUGGCACUACUUCGGUGGUGUGUUAUAGACUUUGUUGAUACUACCUGUCUAGACCGAGGACUGCGUCUUUGACUAGGAUGCUGGCAUAAUGAUCCUAAACCGCCCGUCUUGAAACACGGACCAAGGAGUCUAACGUCUAUGCAAGUGUUUGGGUGUAAAACCCGUACGCGUAAUGAAAGUGAACGUAGGUGAGAGCUCUUUAGAGUGCAUCAUCGACCGAUCCUGAUGUCUUCGGAUGGAUUUGAGUAGA
rnacentral:rRNA from 1 species